rnacentral:rRNA from 1 species
CCGACGGUGAGAGGUGAAAGCUGGGGGAGCAAACCGGAUUAGAUACCCGGGUAGUCCCAGCUGUAAACGAUGCAAACUCGAUGAUGCGUUGGCUUAUUGCUAGCGCAGUGUCGCAGGGAAGCCGUUAAGUUUGCCGCCUGGGAAGUACGUACGCAAGUAUGAAACUUAAAGGAAUUGGCGGGGGAGCACCACAAGGGGUGAAGCCUGCGGUUCAAUUGGAGUCAACGCCUGAAACCUUACCCGGAGAGACAGCAGAAUGAAGGUCAAGCUGAAGACUUUACCAGACAAGCUGAGAGGUGGUGCAUGGCCGUCGCCAGCUCGUGCCGUGAGAUGUCCUGUUAAGUCAGGUAACGAGCGAGAUCCCUGCCUCUAGUUGCCACUAUUACACCCUGGUGUAGUAGGGCGAAUUAGGGGGACCGCCGCAGUUAAUGCGGAGGAAGGAAGGGGCCACGGCAGGUCAGUAUGCCCCGAAACUCUGGGGCCACACGCGGGCUGCAAUGGUAGCGACAAUGAGUUCCAAAAUCGAAAGAUGGAGGUAAUCCCUAAACGCUACCACAGUUGUGAUUGAGGGCUGCAACUCGCCCUCAUGAACAUGGAAUCCCUAGUAACCGCGUGUCAUUAUCGCGCAGUGAAUACGUCCCUGCUCCUUGCACACACCGCCCGU